rnacentral:rRNA from 1 species
GACGAACGCUGGCGGCGUGCUUAACACAUGCAAGUCGAACGGAAAGGCCCUGCUUUUGUGGGGUGCUCGAGUGGCGAACGGGUGAGUAACACGUGAGUAACCUGCCCUUGACUUUGGGAUAACUUCAGGAAACUGGGGCUAAUACCGGAUAGGAGCUCCUGCUGCAUGGUGGGGGUUGGAAAGUUUCGGCGGUUGGGGAUGGACUCGCGGCUUAUCAGCUUGUUGGUGGGGUAGUGGCUUACCAAGGCUUUGACGGGUAGCCGGCCUGAGAGGGUGGCCGGCCACAUUGGGACUAGGAUACGGCCCAGACUCCUACGGGAGGCAGCAGUGGGGAAUAUUGCACAGUGGGCGGAAGCCUGAUGCAGCAACGCCGCGUGCGGGAUGACGGCCUUCGGGUUGUAAACCGCUUUCGCCGGUAACGAAGCGUGAGUGACGGUAAUGGGUAAAGAAGCACCGGCUAACUACGUG